UACAGAGGGUGCUAGCGUUGUUCGGAAUCAUUGGGCGUAAGGGUGCGUAGGCGGCGUGACAAGUCACUUGUGAAAUCUCCGGGCUUAACCCGGAGCGGCCAAGUGAUACUGUCGUGCUAGAGUGCGGAAGGGGCUACUGGAAUUCUCGGUGUAGCGGUGAAAUGCGUAGAUAUCGAGAGGAACACCUGCGGCGAAGGCGGGUAGCUGGGCCGACACGUGACGCUGAGGCGCGAAAGCCAGGGGAGCGAACGGG
rnacentral:rRNA from 1 species